GUCUAAGUGACUGAUGGGAACAACAAUCUUUGACAUUGGUCCAGUAUUAAGCGAGAUUGCUGCAGUCGGCAUGCAGCGGUGAAACAAGUUACAAUGUAA